rnacentral:rRNA from 1 species
GCUUGUCUCAAAGAUUAAGCCAUGCAUGUCUAAGUACAAGCCUCAGUAAGGUGAAACCGCGAAUGGCUCAUUAAAUCACACCUAAUCUACUGGAAAGUUACUAGUUACUUGGAUAACUGUAGAAACACUAGAGCUAAUACAUGCUAAGACCGUAAGGUUGUAUUUAUUAGAUAUACCGAGUAGGUGAAUCAUAAUAACUUCGCAAAUCGCAGUAAUACUGCGAUAAAUCAUUCAAGUUUCUGCCCUAUCAUGCUCUCGAUGGUAGUGUAUUGGACUACCAUGGCUCUCACGGGUAACGGGGAAUUAGGGUUCGAUUCCGGAGAAGGAGCCUGAGAAACGGCUACUACAUCUAAGGAAGGCAGCAGG